rnacentral:rRNA from 1 species
GCAUAUCAAUAAGCGGAGGAAAAAAGAACUAACAAGGAUUCCCCUAGUAGCGGCGAGCGAAGCGGGAAGAGCUCAAAUUUAUAAUCUGGCGCUUUCGGCGUCCGAGUUGUAAUCUCUAGAAGUGUUUUCCGCGUUGGACCGCACAUAAGUCUGUUGGAAUACAGCGGCACAGUGGUGAGACCCCCGUUCACGGUGCGGAUGCCCAAUGCUUUGUGAUACACUUUCGAAGAGUCGAGUUGUUUGGGAAUGCAGCUCAAAUUGGGUGGUAAAUUCCAUCUAAAGCUAAAUAUUGGCGAGAGACCGAUAGCGAACAAGUACCGUGAGGGAAAGAUGAAAAGCACUUUGGAAAGAGAGUUAACAGUACGUGAAAUUGUUGGAAGGGAAACGCUUGAAGUCAGACUUGCUAUUCGGGGCUUGCUCCGAGUUGCAGGCCAGCAUCAGUUUUUCGGGGCGGAAAAUCACGGAUUGAAGGUAGCAGUUUCGGCUGUGUUAUAGCUUUCCGUUGGAUACGUCCUGGGGGACUGAGGAACGCAGUGUGCUUUUAGCGAGGGCUUCGGCUCUUUCACACUUAGGAUGCUGGUGGAAUGGCUUUAAACGACCCGUCUUGAAACACGGACCAAGGAGUCUAACAUGCUUGCGAGUAUUUGGGUGUCAAACCCGGAUGCGUAAUGAAAGUGAAUGGAGGUGGGAACCGCAAGGUGCACCAUCGACCGAUCUGGAUUUUCUAAGAUGGAUUUGAGUAAGAGCACGUAUGUUGGGACCCGAAAGAUGGUGAACUAUGCCUGAAUAGGGCGAAGCCAGAGGAAACUCUGGUGGAGGCUCGUAGCGGUUCUGACGUGCAAAUCGAUCGUCAAAUUUGGGUAUAGGGGCGAAAGACUAAUCGAACCAUCUAGUAGCUGGG